UACGAAGGGGGCUAGCGUUGCUCGGAAUGACUGGGCGUAAAGGGCGCGUAGGCGGCUGUGACAGUCAGACGUGAAAUUCCUGGGCUUAACCUGGGGGGCUGCGUUUGAUACGUGCAGGCUUGAGUAUGGAAGAGGGUCGUGGAAUUCCCAGUGUAGAGGUGAAAUUCGUAGAUAUUGGGAAGAACACCGGUGGCGAAGGCGGCGACCUGGUCCAUUACUGACGCUGAGGCGCGAAAGCGUGGGGAGCAAACAGG
rnacentral:rRNA from 1 species